AUUGAACGCUGGCGGCAGGCCUAACACAUGCAAGUCGAGCGGAAACGAGUUAACUGAACCUUCGGGGGACGUUAACGGCGUCGAGCGGCGGACGGGUGAGUAAUGCCUAGGAAAUUGCCCUGAUGUGGGGGAUAACCAUUGGAAACGAUGGCUAAUACCGCAUGAUGCCUACGGGCCAAAGAGGGGGACCUUCGGGCCUCUCGCGUCAGGAUAUGCCUAGGUGGGAUUAGCUAGUUGGUGAGGUAAGGGCUCACCAAGGCGACGAUCCCUAGCUGGUCUGAGAGGAUGAUCAGCCACACUGGAACUGAGACACGGUCCAGACUCCUACGGGAGGCAGCAGUGGGGAAUAUUGCACAAUGGGCGCAAGCCUGAUGCAGCCAUGCCGCGUGUGUGAAGAAGGCCUUCGGGUUGUAAAGCACUUUCAGUCGUGAGGAAGGUAGUGUAGUUAAUAGCUGCAUUAUUUGACGUUAGCGACAGAAGAAGCACCGGCUAACUCCGUGCCAGCAGCCGCGGUAAUACGGAGGGUGCGAGCGUUAAUCGGAAUUACUGGGCGUAAAGCGCAUGCAGGUGGUUUGUUAAGUCAGAUGUGAAAGCCCGGGGCUCAACCUCGGAAUAGCAUUUGAAACUGGCAGACUAGAGUACUGUAGAGGGGGGUAGAAUUUCAGGUGUAGCGGUGAAAUGCGUAGAGAUCUGAAGGAAUACCGGUGGCGAAGGCGGCCCCCUGGACAGAUACUGACACUCAGAUGCGAAAGCGUGGGGAGCAAACAGGAUUAGAUACCCUGGUAGUCCACGCCGUAAACGAUGUCUACUUGGAGGUUGUGGCCUUGAGCCGUGGCUUUCGGAGCUAACGCGUUAAGUAGACCGCCUGGGGAGUACGGUCGCAAGAUUAAAACUCAAAUGAAUUGACGGGGGCCCGCACAAGCGGUGGAGCAUGUGGUUUAAUUCGAUGCAACGCGAAGAACCUUACCUACUCUUGACAUCCAGAGAACUUUUCAGAGAUGAAUUGGUGCCUUCGGGAACUCUGAGACAGGUGCUGCAUGGCUGUCGUCAGCUCGUGUUGUGAAAUGUUGGGUUAAGUCCCGCAACGAGCGCAACCCUUAUCCUUGUUUGCCAGCGAGUAAUGUCGGGAACUCCAGGGAGACUGCCGGUGAUAAACCGGAGGAAGGUGGGGACGACGUCAAGUCAUCAUGGCCCUUACGAGUAGGGCUACACACGUGCUACAAUGGCGCAUACAGAGGGCGGCCAACUUGCGAAAGUGAGCGAAUCCCAAAAAGUGCGUCGUAGUCCGGAUUGGAGUCUGCAACUCGACUCCAUGAAGUCGGAAUCGCUAGUAAUCGUGGAUCAGAAUGCCACGGUGAAUACGUUCCCGGGCCUUGUACACACCGCCCGUCACACCAUGGGAGUGGGCUGCAAAAGAAGUAGGUAGUUUAACCUUCGGGGGGACGCUUACCACUUUGUGGUUCAUGACUGGGGUGAAGGAACUACACC
rnacentral:rRNA from 1 species